rnacentral:rRNA from 1 species
CCUACGGGUGGCAGCAGUGAGGAAUAUUGGUCAAUGGGCGGGAGCCUGAACCAGCCAAGUCGCGUGAGGGAAGACGGUCCUAUGGAUUGUAACCCUCUUUAGGCGGGGAGCAAUGCCGGGCACGCGUGCCCGGAGGGAGAGUACCCACAGAAUAAGCAUCGGCGAACCCCGUGCAGGCACCCGCGGGAAUACGGAGGAUGCGAGCGUUAUCCGGAUUUAUUGGGUUUAAAGGUUGCGUAGGCGGAUUUUUAAGUCAGCGGUAAAAUGUCCGGGCUCAACCCGGGCCGGCCGUUGAAACUGGGGAUCUGGAGUGGGAGAGAAGUACGCGGAAUGCGUGGUGUAGCGGUGAAAUGCAUAGAUAUCACGCAGAACUCCGAUUGCGAAGGCAGCAUACCGGCGCCCGACUGACGCUGAGGCACGAAAGCGUGGGGAUCGAACAGGAGUAGAUACCCUUGUAGUC